rnacentral:rRNA from 1 species
CAGCCGCCACGGGAAUACGGAGGGCGCGAGCGUUACCCGGAUUUACUGGGCGUAAAGGGCGUGUAGGCGGCCUGGGGCGUCCCAUGUGAAAGGCCACGGCUCAACCGUGGAGGAGCGUGGGAUACGCUCAGGCUAGAGGGUGGGAGAGGGUGGUGGAAUUCACGGAGUAGCGGUGAAAUGCGCAGAUACCGGGAGGAACGCCGAUGGCGAAGGCAGCCACCUGGUCCACUUCUGACGCUGAGGCGCGAAAGCGUGGGGAGCAAACCGGAUUAGAUACCCCCGUAGUCCCUGUCUCUUAUAC